AGUUGCGAACGGGUGAGUAACGCGUAGGUAACCUACCUCAUAGCGGGGGAUAACUAUUGGAAACGAUAGCUAAUACCGCAUAAGAGAGACUAACGCAUGUUAGUAAUUUAAAAGGGGCAAUUGCUCCACUAUGAGAUGGACCUGCGUUGUAUUAGCUAGUUGGUGAGGUAAAGGCUCACCAAGGCGACGAUACAUAGCCGACCUGAGAGGGUGAUCGGCCACACUGGGACUGAGACACGGCCCAGACUCCUACGGGAGGCAGCAGUAGGGAAUCUUCGGCAAUGGGGGCAACCCUGACCGAGCAACGCCGCGUGAGUGAAGAAGGUUUUCGGAUCGUAAAGCUCUGUUGUUAGAGAAGAAUGAUGGUGGGAGUGGAAAAUCCACCAAGUGACGGUAACUAACCAGAAAGGGACGGCUAACUACGUGCCAGCAGCCGCGGUAAUACGUAGGUCCCGAGCGUUGUCCGGAUUUAUUGGGCGUAAAGCGAGCGCAGGCGGUUUUUUAAGUCUGAAGUUAAAGGCAUUGGCUCAACCAAUGUACGCUUUGGAAACUGGAGAACUUGAGUGCAGAAGGGGAGAGUGGAAUUCCAUGUGUAGCGGUGAAAUGCGUAGAUAUAUGGAGGA
rnacentral:rRNA from 1 species